UACAGAGGGUGCAAGCGUUAAUCGGAAUUACUGGGCGUAAAGCGUGCGUAGACGGUCAUGUAAGUCGGAUGUGAAAGCCCCGGGCUCAACCUGGGAAUUGCAUUCGAGACUGCAUGGCUAGGAUGCGGAAGAGGGAAGCGGAAUUUCCGGUGUAGCGGUGAAAUGCGUAGAUAUCGGAAGGAACACCAGUGGCGAAAAGCGGCUUCCUGGUCCAGCAUCGACGUUCAGGCAGCGAAAAG
rnacentral:rRNA from 1 species